rfam:Ovis aries breed Texel chromosome 4, whole genome shotgun sequence.
UCCCUGGUGGCUUAGACAGUAAAGCGUCUCUCUGCUUGUAAUGCAGGAGACCUGGGUUUGAUCCCCGGGUAGGGAA